rnacentral:rRNA from 1 species
CCUACGGGUGGCAGCAGUGAGGAAUAUUGGUCAAUGGGCGGGAGCCUGAACCAGCCAAGUCGCGUGAGGGAUGACGGCCCUAUGGGUUGUAAACCUCUUUUGCCGGGGAGCAAAGUGCCGCACGUGUGCGGUUUGGAGAGUACCCGGAGAAAAAGCAUCGGCUAACUCAGUGCCAGCAGACGCGGUAAGACGGAGGAUGCGAUCGUUAUCCGGAUUGAUUGGGUUUAAAGGGUGCGUAGGCGGACGCUUAAGUCAGCGGUAAAAUUGCGGGGCUCAACCUCGUCGAGCCGUUGAAACUGGGUGCCUUGAGUGGGCGAGAAGUACGCGGAAUGCGUGGUGUAGCGGUGAAAUGCAUAGAUAUCACGCAGAACUCCGAUUGCGAAGGCAGCAUACCGGCGCUCAACUGACGCUCAUGCACGAAAGUGUGGGUAUCGAACAGGAUUAGAUACCCGUGUAGUC